UACGGGGGGGCGAAGCGUUGUUCGGAAUUACUGGGCGUAAAGGGCUCGUAGGUGGCCAACUAAGUCAGACGUGAAAUCCCCAGGCUUAACCUGGGAACUGCGUCUGAUACUGGAUGGCUUGAAUCCGGGAGAGGGAUGCAGAAUUCCAGGUGUAGCGGUGAAAUGCGUAGAUAUCUGGAGGAAUACCGGUGGCGAAGGCGGCAUCCUGGACCGGCAUUGACGCUGAUGAGCGAAAGCUGAGGGAGCAACGGGG
rnacentral:rRNA from 1 species